UCUCUCAGGACGAACAAGCAUGGACUCGUACACUGCUUUGAAUUUAAAUUAUUUUGUUAUUGAUGAGUGAAUCUAACGACACUACAGCUAUCCUAUCAUAACAAAAAAAAAAGAUACAGGCAUAUUUGUUGUCUGGUAUUUUUCAUUAGUACUAUUUAAUUUAUUAUAUAUCAUUUUAUUAUACAUAUAGGGUAUGAGUACCGUUCUUUAUUCUAUGUCCCUUGUUCAUGAUAUUUACUUUAGAUACGACUAACGUCUUUGUAGAUGGAGUAUUCUAUCCCUACAGUUACAAUGGAAUUACGUGCCCUUCUUGUAGAAAGCAGAAUUUAGUACAUAAAUUUAAUUAUUCUUUUUAUUCAGGUAUUUUUUAUUUUCUUUUUGCUCGUGUUUGUAUAUGAUAUAUAUUAACAUUGAAAUUCAUUAUUUUAAGACGUGUUACUAUUUCCCUAUUCAUAUAUUAAUUGAACGUACAAAUUGAUGGCAAUGAUUUGACAAAACAAAAUUGUCAUUUAAAAAAGUAUACCUAUUUCAUUUUGCUACAGUAUAUUUAAUUAUUUAUUAUUUUACAUUCCAUAUUUCAUUAAUUAUUGAUUUUCUAUAAUUAUUUAAAUAUACCAGAGUUUAUUGAAUAUACCAAAUUAUAUAUCAUCAUAUUAUAUUAUAAUGUAUACCCCAUAACUAUAUGCUGUAGGUAGUAUGCAUCAGGACAUUAUUGGACAUACAUCCGGACAAUGAAGUGGAUUGCCCACCAGGGUAAGAAGGGAAGACACUAUUACAUCCUUGCAGAUAGAUUCUUCAACUCUCGAUUACAAAUCAUUCCGUAGAAAUCUCAACGAGUGCUGCAGAUUGUACUAUUCGCCCUGUUGGAUCUUACAUAUGGAAGAAGAUAAAUUUCAUUACGAAGGUAUAUUUACGGGCACCUUUACUUACGGGCCGGCCAUAUCCGUUCAGCGAUAGCCUGAAGGCUAAUUUCAUUAUAAUUUAAUUAUGCUAAUCUUAAUUUUAAAUAUCACCUUUUAAUGCCAUUUACUAUAUUCCACUACAUUAAUUUCCAUUAUUGAUUAUAUAACAGCUGUCGCGUUUUCAUUCUAUAAUCCUAAUAAUUCUCUACCUUACAAUCUAGGUAAUGAGUGGGCUCGUCAGCGAUUAAUACUUUUUCAAAUUAUCUACAAAUUGAUAUCUUGUUUCAGUUCGCUGCAUUAAAUUUCUUUACACUUUGUGUCGCCAUUCGAAUAUAUUGAAUAUACUAUACUGCCCAUAACCGCAUAACAGUAACAUUCGAUAAAAGUAGGCAUUGGAGAAAAUGGAACCCAAAGUUGCAACAUUGAAUAGUAUAGGAAUCAAUCGAAAAUUUAAAAAUUUCUCAUAAAUUUGUCAUCAGUCGUAUAGCAAUCAAAUCUUCUACAGCAGUUCCUGUAUGCUGGGGGAAUUGUCGAAACAUGAAUCGAACCUCAGUAUGAUUGAUGUCACGCUUUAAAGCCAAUCUAUUUUCCUAGUGUGACUGUUAUGCGGUCACAUUGCUCAAUGAGACAAAAUGGCUUGGUAUUUUUUUCAUAAAUCCUAGAACAAACUUAAUUUGUUUAUUCAGGUGGUCGAAAGCACUUGUGAUUUGAUGAUGAUCCCCGAUAUUAACUCUAUACCAGCAAAAUAUGCAAAUGUUACAAAUAUGCAGUUAUGGGCAGUAUAUGUCAGUAAUAUAUUUCAUCAUAAUAGAUUAUACCAUGAACUAUAUAUCAAACUAUAUGAGGUUGGGAGGGUGAAUCAGGGCAUCAUUAAAAUUGUAACUGUACGACGGAGUGAUUGCCAACCGGCGUGUGGUGAUUUGACGCGCCCUCCUUGUGACAAACCAUGCCGCAGAAAGCUUGACAAGUGAUGUGAAACUAUUAUUGGAUCAUACUGUUGGAAGGAGAUUCUUAUAAACCCGCGGAUUUCGCGUAAAUGCCUCUACUUACGGGUCGCCACACCCCCUUUUGGCUCUUCAUACAGUGAUUCACAUUUUGUUACUAUAAUAUUGUUGUACCCUACCAUCUAACGUAAAUGCCUUGUCACCUAAAAUAUUUAUUUACUUCAUCCACAACUGAUAUUUUAUUUCAUUUUGCUACAUUACAUUUCAUUAUUAUAUUUAUUGAUUAUACCAUAUUUCAAGAUUAUAUGUAUUUCAUUAUAAAUUUCCUAUCAAUAUUAUAUUUAAAUCAUUAUAUAACCAUAUAACUAUAAUAUUAUGGAGUUGGGAGGGUGCAUCAGGGCAUCAUUGAAGUUGAAACUGUACGACGGAGUGGAUUGCCAGCCGGAGUGUGGUGAGAAUUAACUAUAACAUCCUUGUAGAUGGGUUCUUCUAUCCCAACAGUUGCAAUGGAUUUGACGCGCCCUUCUUGUGACAAACCAUCCCGUAGAAAGCUUGACAAGUAAUGUAAAUAUCAUUAUUCACCCUGUUGGAUCAUACUGUUGGAAGGAGAUUCUUAUAAACCCGCGGAUUUCGCGUAAGUGACUCUACCCGGAUAUAAACGAACAAUUAAGGCUAUGGGAAAAACAAUUGAAAAACCACAGAUUCUUAUGUUAACAUUGCUUUCUAUUGUGUAUGUAUUGUACAGUAUUUUUAGAAUUUGAUUCUUUUUAAUGAUUACAAAAGAUUUACAUUAGAUUCCAUGGUUACAUACCUAAACAAUAGAUUAACAUUUGAAUUCUUUGUUACUGUUGGAUUCAGUGUUCAAACCAUUAGUUUACAAUAGAAUGUAUCAGUAACAUUGAAAUGUACUGUUUUUCAAUGGUCUGGACGUUUGAAAAAAAAAAGGGUUUUUGCUUGGGUUUUUGAGUAAUUCCGAAACAGUGUGUAUCGAUGACAGCCAAGUUUUGUUGUAGUCAGCUCGGUCGUCAGCGGUAAAAAAUUCCGAAUAGCAGUUUUGUGUGCGGAAAAUGUGGAAAAUUCACGCUCAGCUGCGUGAAUUUUCCGCAUUUUCCUCACGGGAGAAAAUAUAGUGUGUGGUGCAGUGCUGAAUCAUUCAACAGUUGCGGCAUUUCAACAGUGACAAGGACGUCAAGCCGGUGCGCGGUACAUAAGCAAUCAACCCAGAGCUUGUUGAAUGCCGAUCUAAGCAAGAUCUGCAUGAGGGCCAACGGACUUAUUGUAAAAAUACUAAUUUUCCCUUCCUUUAAUUUGACUGCAAUCUUGACUGCAAUAGUUUCAUCAUCAAACUUUUUUUCGUGAAAUCAAAUGUGAAACAUAUUACUGAGUAGAACCGUAGAACCAUCUUUUGCAUUUGGUAGCUUUGCAAGGUUUUUAAAUAUAGGUUCGCUCUUUAAACUUGGAACACAUGCAUGCCUUUGAAUCAAAUUCUAUAUUGUAUGCUGUAUUCCACAAGCUGUAGUUCAUCAAAUGUCCAUAAAUGCUACAAUAAUGGUUAAGCACGCUGUAAUGUUACUUUUGUACCUCAUCACCCACUAAAUGCAACUACAUUAGUGGUCUAACAACACUUAGCGCGCUUCGGCACGGUUCCAUCAUGCCGCUUAUAGUGUUGCCACAUAUAAUGCUUAGUUUGCUAAACCCAGUUAUCUGGCUGGUGGGACAUGGGAGCCCAAGCUUCAUCCAUUAAUGCAAUUAGACGUUUAUUGAACAAUAAAAUGAGCGAUUCGAAUAUUUGAAGAACUAUUCAAACAACAUAGAAGCUUAUGUAAAGUCAACUUUUAACGAACUUAAUCUAUGCAAUAUCUUGCAUUUUAACGCUUCGAAUGACGUUCAAGUAUAGGUUCAAGUUGUAGUAUAUCGAGUUUUUUUUUAGUGCUACAAUAAUGGUUAAGCACGCUGUAAUGUUACUUUUGUACCUCAUCACCCACUAAAUGCAACUACAUUAGUGGUCUAAUAACACUUAGCGCGCUUAGGCACGGUUCCAUCAUGCCGCUUAUAGUGUUGCCACAUAUAAUGCUUAGUCUGCUAAACCCGGUUAUCUGGCUGGUGGGGCAUGGGAGCCCAAGCUUCAAUCAUUAAUGCAAUAAAACAUUACUCGAUUUACGACAUGAUUGAUCCAAAUAUUAGAAAAUUGUUCGAUCUGUGUUCUUAAAAUGUAGCCCUGAAUGUAGCAUAAAAUAUACAAGCUUCUAGUCCAAAUGCAUAAAGAUAGUUCAGAUUCACUGUUUUUCAGAAUUUUCUCAAGCAAUCAGUAACAAAAGUAAAAAGCAGAAAUAGAUCAAAUCAUGCCAAAAUGUUCAUAAUCGCUUGUAAAAUAAAACUAUUCCAAAACAUUAGAAUUUUCUGUUUCACAAUAGAAAACAAUUCCCAAACCUUUGGAUAGGGCAAAACAGUAUGUUCCGUAAUGACAAUUGAAAGCAAUUCCAGAACAAUAGAAUCUAAUGUGUAAUUAAGUCAGUGCUCAAAGAACAAUAUGAAAACAUAAGAAUCUUGUGUAUCACAAUAGAAAACAAUUCCCAAACCAUUGAAUCAAAUGUGGAAUCAGUAAUAAAAUUACUACUCAAAACAAUA